rnacentral:rRNA from 1 species
GACGAACGCUGGCGGCGUGCUUAACACAUGCAAGUCGAACGGUGAAGCGAGUGCUUGCACUCGUGGAUCAGUGGCGAACGGGUGAGUAACACGUGAGUAACCUGCCCAUCACUCUGGGAUAAGCACUGGAAACGGUGUCUAAUACUGGAUACGACCAACCCUUGCAUGGGGUGUUGGUGGAAAGAUUUAUCGGUGAUGGAUGGACUCGCGGCCUAUCAGCUUGUUGGCGGGGUAAUGGCCCACCAAGGCGACGACGGGCAGCCGGCCUGGGAGGGUGACCGGCCACACUGGGACUGAGACACGGCCCAGACUCCUACGGGAGGCAGCAGUGGGGAAUAUUGCACAAUGGGCGAAAGCCUGAUGCAGCGACGCCGCGUGAGGGAUGACGGCCUUCGGGUUGUAAACCUCUUUCAGCAGGGAAGAAGCGAAAGUGACGGUACCUGCAGAAGAAGUACCGGCUAACUACGUG